ACCAAGGCUCUUUUCAGAGCCACCCACAAACUUCACAAUAGGAGCU
rfam:Tinamus guttatus contig66639, whole genome shotgun sequence.